rnacentral:snoRNA from 1 species
AUUCCAUGGUUUGGACACUUUUGCAGCAUAUUCUUGAACCUAUUCCAAGCUUCAUCAAAAUUCUUCAAGUUGCCUUGGCAGAAGAUAGAAAUGUCAUGCUUGAGCUU